rnacentral:misc_RNA from 1 species
AAAAAAGAAAUCGGCAUAACUGCCACAGUUCAGACCCGGCCCUGCGGCGCAGUGCCUGUGACGCCCCACGCCGCACACUUUCCCGAGAACCCUCUCCCCCGUUAGUGCGCCGCAAUGCCUGGCCGCCACGGCAAGCAGCGCGUGAAGCGCAAGAAGUCCAAGCGGCAGCCCGUGACGGACAUGGAGCGGACGCUGAAGGACAGCAUCCAUGGCCGGAAGCGAAAGGAGCGAAGCAUCCUCAAGAACCUGAUCCCACCCAAGGUGGUGCCCAAGGUGAACAAGGUCGCUAUGUCGAGCGCGCUGCCGAUGUUCCAGCCCCGAACCGGAAAGAAGCAGAGGAGCGCGUGACGCUGCUGCUGCUGCUGCUGGUGCGCUGCCCUGUCUUUCUCUCUCUGUUGGCCGCCGUCAGAGCUGAGGCUGUUCCACCCCCCUUUUUUUGCCUGUUUUGUGCGCUACUGAUUGUGGCGAUCCGAGUACGCACGAGGCACGGCACACACGUCUCCGUCUCCGUGUGUCUGCGCACGGGCGGUACGCGCCGCGUGAGGCAGCGCUCUUUUUUGUUGUGAGCCCGCAUGGCAGGUGAACCUCCCCCCCUUCUCACUGCUGAGAAGCGGAGAAGAGGAAAGUGGCAGGGGGAACGGCGCACGCGUGAGUAUUGCUUAAAGGGACCCAGUGCCCGCCAUCUCUGGAGCCGUCGAACUUUGUCAGCGCGGCUGGUUCGAGGACGUGCGUUGUCCUUAUUCGACCGUAUGACGAAUUCGGGCUCGUUUUUCCAUGAGCCUUCCAUUCCGCUGUUUCUUCUGCUUAUUACCCUCUUCUCGCACUUUUUGCUAUUCCGGUGCGCACUGCCUGCAG